UGGGGAAUUGUUCGCAAUGGGCGCAAGCCUGACGACGCAACGCCGCGUGGAGGAUGAAGGUCUUCGGAUUGUAAACUCCUGUUGCCCGGGACGAAAAGCUCUGACCUAACACGUUAGAGUCUGACGGUACCGGGUGAGGAAGCCCCGGCUAACUCUGUGCCAGCAGCCGCGGUAAUACAGAGGGGGCAAGCGUUGUUCGGAAUUACUGGGCGUAAAGGGCUCGUAGGCGGCCAACUAAGUCAGACGUGAAAUCCCUCGGCUUAACCGGGGAACUGCGUCUGAUACUGGAUGGCUUGAAUCCGGGAGAGGGAUGUGGAAUUCCAGGUGUAGCGGUGAAAUGCGUAGAUAUCUGGAGGAACACCGGUGGCGAAGGCGGCAUCCUGGACCGGUAUUGACGCUGAGUGAGCGAAAGCCAGGGGAGCAAACGGGAUUAGAUACCCACGUAGUCCCUGAGCGGGCUGGCAAGGCGCAU
rnacentral:rRNA from 1 species